UUUCUAAAUACUAUUAUAAGUUUUAUGAAGGAUCUUACCAGUGAAAAGAUUCUUUCUUCUUUCUUUUUCUAUAUGCCUCUCAUCCUUCAUGGCUUCUAUUAUCUUCAUCCACUACAUCUGAGGAUCAAGCUAAAUCCGCCAACCUUUUUUGGCAAUCUUUCCUUCUUCCUAAGGAUUUACAUGUCGGUUCGAUCAUCGAACCAACCGAAAACAAUAGUUGUUUAGCUGAACAAUACUCUCCUAGCCUAGUAGCCCAUCAGUUUGGUCUAACCCAACCUAUAUCAUGUCCUCUUUUGCUCUCCCUAAACCAUGAUCCAUUCAAUUGAAAUUUCAUUAUUGAUCCCACCAUCAUCGAGUUAGCUGAUUUCAUUUACAAUCAGUCAUAUGCUAUCUUUAAAUUCCAUCCUUUUG
rnacentral:lncRNA from 1 species